rnacentral:rRNA from 1 species
AGAGUUUGAUCCUGGCUCAGAGCGAACGCUGGCGGAAUGCUUAACACAUGCAAGUCGCGCGGGCAGCUUCGGCUGUCAGCGGCGGACGGGUGAGUAGCGCGUAGGAACGUGUCCUGAGGUGGGGGACAACCCCGGGAAACUGGGGCUAAUACCGCACGUGCCCUGCGGGGCAAAGCCGAAAGGCGCCUUGGGAGCGGCCUGCGUCCGAUUAGCUUGUUGGUGGGGUAACGGCCCACCAAGGCUCCGAUCGGUAGCUGGUCUGAGAGGACGACCAGCCACACUGGGACUGAGACACGGCCCAGACUCCUACGGGAGGCAGCAGUGGGGAAUAUUGGGCAAUGGGCGCAAGCCUGACCCAGCAAUUCCGCGUGGGUGAAGAAGGUCUUCGGAUUGUAAAGCCCUUUCGGCGGGGACGAUGGUGACGGUACCCGCAGAAGAAGCCCCGGCCAACUUCGUGCCAGCAGCCGCGGUAAUACGAAGGGGGCUAGCGUUGCUCGGAAUCAUUGGGCGUAAAGGGCGCGUAGGCGGCCUUGUUGGUCAGGCGUGAAAUCCCCGGGCUCAACCCAGGGACUGCGCUUGAUACGGCAAGGCUCGAGGAUGGAAGAGGGCCGCGGAAUUCCCAGUGUAGAGGUGAAAUUCGUAGAUAUUGGGAAGAACACCGGUGGCGAAGGCGGCGGCCUGGUCCAUCACUGACGCUGAGGCGCGACAGCGUGGGGAGCAAACAGGAUUAGAUACCCCCGUAGUCC